rnacentral:lncRNA from 1 species
CUGUUUCAGAAGGUAAAAGUACAGAAGCGAGCAGAGGGGAUAGUACCAUCUUCAACAUAGCUAGCCUUUCCACGGUGCCUUUCCAUCCCUCUAAAGCUCAAACGAUUGCAAGGCCGCAGCUCGCUCUGGGCGAGCAGACACACGUGUACCCUACGCAUGCGCCCAGACGAGACCUACCCGCCCCUUCGACCAGACCCCUUCAGCCAAGUCACCAACCAGCCCUCUAAAUGCCCGCCCUCAGGGCUAAAUCCUCGGCCAAUUGAGAUGCAAGAUCAUCUUACACGUCACUUAUUUAGCAUAUACCCUCUCCCCGCCCCCAAGUUACGGCCCCGCCCACUCAGAGGCAGGGAUUGUCGCCUAAGAGCUUCGUCCUGCCACCUGAUUGGCUCCUCUGCCAGCUCCGCCUCUGUCUCCUCCCACCGCCCUCCCCUCCACGCUCCCACAGCGGGCGGAGCUAAGUACGCCGGCGCAGGGGCACCCUCUCUUUUUUGGUGGCCCGCCUCCCUCCUCCCCCUCCUCCCCUCCCCAUCCCCUCUCCCCUCUCCCUCUCUCGGCCUGCGCGCGCGCGUCUUCCUCCUGCACGCGCGCCACUACCCGAGCACUCCGCCGGAGCCUCUGGCCCGCGCGUUCCUUUCCUCUCCGGCUGCGGAGCGGGCGGGAUCCUGCACCGCAGUCGCGGAAGCAGCGGCAGCUCGGCCGGACACGGGCAGCGGCGGCGGGCAGCGGCGCGCGAGCCCCCAGGCAGACCGUACCACCGCUCACCAGCACCGCGGGGGGAGCCGGCCGCCCCGCCGCACACGCCUCGACGACUCCGCGGGGCUGAGGCGUCGCCCGCGCCCGGAGCGUGAUCGCCAGCCGGCGUCGACCCCGCUCCGAGCCCCGCGGCCGCGCCUGCCGGCGGCCCCACCCCAUCCGGGCCGAGGAGGCCGCGGCCAUGGCCGAGACGGAGGAGCGGAGCCUGGACAAACUUCUUCGCCAAGAGGGACAAGAAGAAGAGAAGGAGCGGAGCAACCGGGCGCGAGCGCCGCGAGUGGCGCCGGCGGGAGCAGUGGAGCCGCGGCGCUGGCGGGAGCAGCGGAGCCGGGGGCUCGGCUGGCGGUGGCGCCCGGCCGGCGACGGCGGGACCGCGGGCGUGGGCCCGGCCAGGCGACAGCGGGACCGCGGGCGCCGCCACCAGGCCGUGACGAAGGAUGA